AUUGAACGCUGGCGGUAUGCCUAACACAUGCAAGUCGAACGAGGUAGCAAUACCUAGUGGCGGACGGGUGAGGAAUACGUAGGGAUCUGCCCUUAAGUGGGGGAUAACCCGGGGGAAACCCGGAUUAAUACCGCAUGAUCUCGCAAGAGCAAAGAGAGGGACCGCAAGGCCUCUCGCUUUUGGAGGAACCUACGUCGGAUUAGCUAGUUGGUGAGGUAAUGGCUCACCAAGGCGACGAUCCGUAACUGGUCUGAGAGGAUGAUCAGUCACACCGGAACUGAGACACGGUCCGGACUCCUACGGGAGGCAGCAGUGGGGAAUAUUGGACAAUGGGCGAAAGCCUGAUCCAGCAAUACCGCGUGUGUGAAGAAGGCC
rnacentral:rRNA from 1 species